rnacentral:rRNA from 1 species
AUGGACUUUCUUUUUUCUUUUUUCCGAAGCGCCUCUACAACAGGGCAUAUUUUAUUAAUUAUUCAUCAAGACUUCACAAAGAAAUACAUCAAUAAUUCUGAAGUCACCUUCUUUGGCAACAACAGUCGCUACCGCUCGGGUCGCCCCCCGCUCGGGCGACUCGGGUGGCUCCCCAACCCUAGCCGCCGCCGGGGCUUAGCCCAUCCUCCUCCACUCCUCCCGCCGCCGCCGGAGGACGCCGCCAGCUUGCGCCCGGAGGCCGACGGCGGUGGCGGGGGCUCUUCCUCCCUCCCGCAUCUCAGGGGUGGCGGGACCCCAACAUGCGUGGAGGUGCGGCCGAUCUAG